CGUAGUUAGCCGGGACUUAUUCCUGGGGUACCGUCCUUCCUCGUCCCCCAGAAAAAGCGGUUUACGACCCGAAGGCCUUCCUCCCGCACGCGGCGUCGCUGCCUCAGGGUUUCCCCCAUUGGGCAAGAUUCCU
rnacentral:rRNA from 1 species